rnacentral:lncRNA from 1 species
CCAAGUUGUCCUUUUAAGAGAAAGUUUUCUUUGUUAAUUAUGGUGUAAUCUAGAAUUCCCUCAGUUUGCAUUCAUUGUGCAUGAACCGGACAUAGGAUGAUAACAUUUACGAAGGGUCUCAACUUCCACACUGGAGCUGUUGGUGCACGUCCAACUGUACUUCCAUCUACGAUAAGUUGAUCAAAAGUGCAUGCCAGAAAAUUAAAAAAAGAAAAAAGACAGCAAUGUGUCAUAAAUGAGAGAUUAUUUCAGCAACUCAUUACUUUAGAGUUGGAAGAUGCUAAAGAAGGUUAGGUUACAUUUGUAAACUGAUUAAAAGUAAAUGCAAAAAAAAUAUUUAGAAACAGUAUAGUUAUUCACCUCCAAAAAAUAUCUUUAAUCAAUAUCUCUGUAUCUCUAUCAAAAGAGAAAUUAUUGAUGACAACUAUUCUACCAUUCAAUGAAAAAUCAUCACAUCAUUUAUUUUGGCUAGUCAUAGUUGAUAAUAAAUUUUUUCUAUUCAAAAUUUUCAAUCUAGCUUUGAUAAUAAUAAAUCUUUUUUCAUUCAAAAUUUGAAUCAUGAUGUUUGUUGAUUUCUGAUUUCUUUUUUAUUAGAAUGGAUAAUGUAGCAAUUUUUUAUUGGAUGAACCAAAAUACAAAUGAUAGAUCAGUUCCAACUAGUAAUUUCUUCUAUUAAAAGUAAAAGAUAAUAUAAAAAUCUGAAGGAAGAGCCAAAAGGUAAUUCAAAAAUCC